ACGGCGUACCUUUUGUAUAAUGGGUCAGCGAGUUAUUGUCUGUAGCAAGGUUAACCGUUUAGGGGAGCCGUAGGGAAACCGAGUCUUAAUAGGGCGUCAUAGUUGCAGGCAAUAGACCCGAAACCGGACGAUCUAGCCAUGGCCAGGUUGAAGGUGCCGUAACAGGCACUGGAGGACCGAACCCACUUAUGUUGAAAAAUGAGGGGAUGAGCUGUGGCUCGGAGUGAAAGGCUAAUCAAGUCCGGAGAUAGCUGGUUCUCCGCGAAAACUAUUUAGGUAGUGCCUCGUGAGUUAACUGCUGGGGGUAAAGCACUGUGUCGGCUAGGGGGUCAUCCCGACUUACCAACCCGAUGCAAACUCCGAAUACCUGUGAGUACUAUCCGGGAGACACACGGUGGGUGCUAACGUCCAUCGUGAAGAGGGAAACAACCCAGACCGCCAGCUAAGGUCCCCAAAUACCAGUUAAGUGGGAAACGAUGUGGGAAGGCUCAGAC
rnacentral:rRNA from 1 species